GCCCGUAUAGCUCAGCGGGAGAGCGCCGCCCUUACAAGGCGGAUGUCCCAGGUUCGAAUCCUGGUACGGGUA
rnacentral:tRNA from 1 species